GGAAGUAAAAGUCGUAACAAGGUCUCCGUUGGUGAACCAGCGGAGGGAUCAUUACAGAGUUGCAAAACUCCCUAAACCAUUGUGAACGUUACCUAAACCGUUGCUUCGGCGGGCGGCCCCGGGGUUUACCCCCCGGGCGCCCCUGGGCCCCACCGCGGGCGCCCGCCGGAGGUCACCAAACUCUUGAUAAUUUAUGGCCUCUCUGAGUCUUCUGUACUGAAUAAGUCAAAACUUUCAACAACGGAUCUCUUGGUUCUGGCAUCGAUGAAGAACGCAGCGAAAUGCGAUAAGUAAUGUGAAUUGCAGAAUUCAGUGAAUCAUCGAAUCUUUGAACGCACAUUGCGCCCGCCAGUAUUCUGGCGGGCAUGCCUGUUCGAGCGUCAUUUCAACCAUCAAGCCCCGGGCUUGUGUUGGGGACCUGCGGCUGCCGCAGGCCCUGAAAAGCAGUGGCGGGCUCGCUGUCACACCGAGCGUAGUAGCAUACAUCUCGCUCUGGGCGUGCUGCGGGUUCCGGCCGUUAAACCACCUUUUAACCCAAGGUUGACCUCGGAUCAGGUAGGAAGACCCGCUGAACUUAAGCAUAUCAAUAAGCGGAGGA
rnacentral:rRNA from 2 species